rfam:Xenopus tropicalis strain Nigerian Chr08_contig_440, whole genome shotgun sequence.
GGCUCUGUGGCGCAAUGGAUAGCGCAUUGGACUUCUAGUUGAUGCAAGAUAUUCAAAGGUUGUGGGUUCGAGUCCCUCCAGAGUCG